rnacentral:rRNA from 1 species
AACGAACGCUGGCGGCAGGCCUAACACAUGCAAGUCGAACGCACCGCAAGGUGAGUGGCGCACGGGUGAGUAACACGUGGGAAUGUAUCCUUUGGUUCGGAAUAACGUCUGGAAACGGACGCUAAUACCGGAUGAGCCCUUAGGGGGAAAGAUUUAUCGCCGAAGGAGCAGCCCGCGUCUGAUUAGGUAGUUGGUGGGGUAAAGGCCUACCAAGCCGACGAUCAGUAGCUGGUCUGAGAGGAUGAUCAGCCACACUGGGACUGAGACACGGCCCAGACUCCUACGGGAGGCAGCAGUGGGGAAUCUUGCGCAAUGGGCGAAAGCCUGACGCAGCCAUGCCGCGUGAAUGAUGAAGGUCUUAGGAUUGUAAAAUUCUUUUACCAGGGACGAUAAUGACGGUACCUGGAGAAAAAGCCCCGGCUAACUUCGUGCCAGCAGCCGCCGUAAUAC